GCUUCGGUAGUGUGGUGGAUCAGCACGGCAAACCGUAUAUCUGUGAGUGCGGGUUCGAGUCCCGCCUGAGAUU
rnacentral:tRNA from 1 species